GACGAACGCUGGCGGCGUGCCUAAUACAUGCAAGUCGAACGGUCUUUUCUAUGGAAGCUUGCUUCCACUGAGAAGAUAGUGGCGAACGGGUGAGUAACACGUGGGUAACCUGCCCAUAAGAGGGGGAUAACAUCCGGAAACGGGUGCUAAUACCGCAUAGGUUUCUUGGUCGCAUGAUCGAGAAAGGAAAGACGGCCUUUGUGCUGUCGCUUAUGGACGGACCCGCGGCGUAUUAGUUAGUUGGUGAGGUAACGGCUCACCAAGACGAUGAUACGUAGCCGACCUGAGAGGGUGAUCGGCCACAUUGGGACUGAGACACGGCCCAAACUCCUACGGGAGGCAGCAGUAGGGAAUCUUCCGCAAUGGACGAAAGUCUGACGGAGCAACGCCGCGUGAGUGAAGAAGGUUUUCGGAUCGUAAAACUCUGUUGUCAGAGAAGAACAAGUCGGAGAGUAACUGCUCCGGCCUUGACGGUAUCUGACCAGAAAGCCACGGCUAACUACGUGCCAGCCGCCGCCGUAAAAC
rnacentral:rRNA from 1 species